rnacentral:rRNA from 1 species
AGACCCGAAACCCGGUGAUCUAGCCAUGGGCAGGUUGAAGGUUGGGUAACACUAACUGGAGGACCGAACCGACUAAUGUUGAAAAAUUAGCGGAUGACUUGUGGCUGGGGGUGAAAGGCCAAUCAAACCGGGAGAUAGCUGGUUCUCCCCGAAAGCUAUUUAGGUAGCGCCUCGUGAAUUCAUCUCCGGGGGUAGAGCACUGUUUCGGCAAGGGGGUCAUCCCGACUUACCAACCCGAUGCAAACUGCGAAUACCGGAGAAUGUUAUCACGGGAGACACACGGCGGGUGCUAACGUCCGUCGUGAAGAGGGAAACAACCCAGACCGCCAGCUAAGGUCCCAAAGUCAUGGUUAAGUGGGAAACGAUGUGGGAAGGCCCAGACAGCCAGGAUGUUGGCUUAGAAGCAGCCAUCAUUUAAAGAAAGCGUAAUAGCUCACUGGUCGAGUCGGCCUGCGCGGAAGAUGUAACGGGGCUAAACCAUGCACCGAAGCUGCGGCAGCGACACUGUGUGUUGUUGGGUAGGGGAGCGUUCUGUAAGCCUGUGAAGGUGUGCUGU